rnacentral:rRNA from 1 species
GGGGAAGUAUUGCACAAUGGGGGGAAACCCGUAGAUGCAGCGACGCCGCGUGAGUGAGGAAGUAUUUCGGUAUGUAAAACUCUAUCAGCAGGGAAGAUAAUGACGGUACCUGACUAAGAAGCACCGGCUAAAUACGUGCCAGCAGCCGCGGUAAUACGGAGGAUGCGAGCGUUAUCCGGAUUUAUUGGGUUUAAAGGGUGCGCAGGCGGCGUGCCAAGUCAGCGGUCAAAGUUCCGGGCUCAACCCGGUGAUGCCGUUGAAACUGGUGUGCUUGAGUGCGUGCGAGGGAGGCGGAAUGCGUUGUGUAGCGGUGAAAUGCAUAGAUAUGACGCAGAACUCCGAUUGCGAAGGCAGCUUUCCAGCACGCCACUGACGCUGAGGCACGAAAG